rnacentral:rRNA from 1 species
CGAAGGGGGCUAGCGUUGUUCGGAAUUACUGGGCGUAAAGCGUACGUAGGCGGAUUUGUAAGCAGGGGGUGAAAUCCCCAGGCUCAACCUGGGAACUGCCUUCUAGACUGCAAGUCUUGAGAUCAGGAGAGGCGAGUGGAAUUCCGAGUGUAGAGGUGAAAUUCGUAGAUAUUCGGAGGAACACCAGUGGCGAAGGCGACUCGCUGGACUGAUACUGACGCUGAGGUACGAAAGCGUGGGGAGCAAACAGGAUUAGAUACCCUGGUAGUCCACGCCUUAAACGAUGAGAGCUAGUUGUCAGUAAGCAUGCUUAUUGGUGACGCAGCUAACGCAUUAAGCUCUCCGCCUGGGGAGUACGGCCGCAAGGUUA